rnacentral:rRNA from 1 species
AUUGAACGCUGGCGGCAGGCCUAACACAUGCAAGUCGAGCGGAUGAAGGGAGCUUGCUCCUGGAUUCCGCGGCGGACGGGUGAGUAAUGCCUAGGAAUCUGCCUGGUAGUGGGGGAUAACGUCCGGAAACGGGCGCUAAUACCGCCUACGUCCUGCGGGCGAAAGUGGGGGAUCCUCGGACCUCACGCUAUCCGAUGAGCCUACGUCGGCUUAGCUAGUUGGUGGGGUAAAGGCCUAUCACGGCGACGAUCCGUAACUGAUCUGAGAGGAUGAUCAGUCCCACUGGAACUGAGACAGGGUCCAGGCUCCUACGGGAGGCAGCAGUGGGGAAUAGUGGACAGUGGGCGAAAGCCUGGUACAGCGAGGCCGCGUGUGUGGAGAAGGUCUUCGGAGGGUAAAGCACUCUAAGUGGGGAGGAAGGGCAGUAAGUUAAUACCUUGCUGUUUUGACGGUACCAACAGAAGAAGCACCGGCUAACUUCGUG